AGCUUUGCGCAGUGGCGAUAUCGUAACCAAUGAGGUUUUACCGAGGUGCGAUUAUUGCUAGUUGAAAAAAAUUCAGAAUGCAAUGUGUGGCGUACAACACAACGACAGACAUCAGCAAAUACUAACUUAAAGCAUGAA